rnacentral:lncRNA from 1 species
GGGACUGCACAAAAGUCGCACAACAUUUUUCCUCAGUGCACCACAUGGCAAAUAGCCACAAGAAAACAUAGCAGGGAGCAAGCACUUGAAGUUUCUUUUUCUUGUCUUUUACUCUUCAAAAGGGUGAAAGCAACACAGGCUUGGAGAUGAGGGUCCCAUAGUGGCCUGUCCCCGUUGGUGACUGCACUUCCAGCUUCGAGUCUCUACUGGGGAAGCUCUUCCUUUGAAGUACAUCUCACUUGGACAGGAGCCAACGUCACGAGGAGGAAACUAAUAGCUUGUAAAGAGAACCCCACAGGAUAUCAGAGGAAAUUUCUAGACCUGCUGGGAUCAGAAUUGGUGCAUAUCCACCUCAGUGGCUUUCCCCAGGCAGUCAGAAAGGCAAAGACAGGCUGCAACCAGGCCUGAAUGGACCCAUUCUUCUCAGCCAACCGCUAACACUUAAGGAUUUAUGAAAAAUUUCCUUGGCAUUAUGUGCUUGGUGGUAAGCUUGCUCUGAUGUGCUCGCAGAAGGACAACUCUUUGGCAAAGUUAUCUUUGAGGCUGUGCCAAUAACAGCUAGAGGAACUCAGGUGCAGCUCC